rnacentral:rRNA from 1 species
UUCCUACGGGGGGCAGCAGUGGGGAAUAUUGCACAAUGGGGGAAACCCUGAUGCAGCAACGCCGCGUGAAGGAAGACGGUUUUCGGAUUGUAAACUUCUGUUCUUAGUGAAGAAGAAUGACGGUAAUUACUUAGAAAGUCACGGCUAACUACGUGCCAGCAGCCGCGGUAAUACGUAGGUGGCAAGCGUUGUCCGGAUUUAUUGGGCGUAAAGCGAGUGCAGGCGGUUCAAUAAGUCUGAUGUGAAAGCCUUCGGCUCAACCGGAGAAUUGCAUCAGAAACUGUUGAACUU